AUAUUUUGUGAAAUUUUUAUAUGCGCGCAAUUUCUUAUCAAUGGAUUAUGACGCAAUACAUUAUGACGCAAUAGAUUACGACGCAAUUACUUACUCUGCUUCUUGCCAUAAAUAUAUAUGUGAUUCAAUAUAUCCUCGUCGAUCCGAAGUCUGAUCUUCUCUGUGUGUUUGUAUAGACGUCAUAUUCAUUUAAAUUUAACAUUAUUGUAUGAAACACUUAUAUGUCUGUCUACUUUGCACCGCACAAUAAUACGUACAUACAGGUUGAGAGGUAAACUUACUAAUGAUGUUAGAAGACGAAGAAGAAUUGAAAUAUACUUUCUUUUAUUAAAUAAAAACCGAUCUAGGUUUCAUUUGUUUUUAAACAAUUAAUAAAAAUACAUUUAUUGUGGGUAAUGUAUAUUUUAUUAAUGAUUGGUAAAAUGUGUAUCAUUAUCUAGCAUCGGUACAAGCUAUUAUUACUUCAUUUUACCGACUACUGAAAUUAUGCUGUUGUAUCUUAUGAUGGAAAAUUUUAUAAUUCAGUUACCGACAGGUAGACAAUAUGUUUCGUUUUCUAGACGAAAGAUAGCACAUCGUGCUAAGGACAAAAUCAAAAUGGCUAUCUGCCGUGUCGUGUCGUGUCGUGUCGUGUACUGCCACGUGCUCUAUUAAAUAUUUAACAUAAUGAAAUGCAAUAGUGAUUCAAUCAUAAUUAAGUGAAUAAUAUUGUUUUUAAUUAUAAAAUAAUAAUUCAGUUCAUAUUCUCUUUUUGUCUGUUGUAGUGAUCGCCAAUUGUGGAUGUGAAAAUAGUUACAAAUUAGAUAUACAUCCUGUGUGUGGUACAAUAGUAUUACGUCAUAACCGAUUUUACUGUUCUAUGUAUGUAAUAUAAUAUUUUUUCUUUUUUGUCAAUUAAUAUAUUUCCACUAUAUAUAUUAUUGCGAAGAUUAUACAAAUUUAACAACUAGCAAUGUGUGCAGUGAGAGAAAACAUCUUGAUGGGGGUCUGGGGGCGAAGCCCCCAGAAAGAAAAAAAAGCGGGGUCCGGGGGCGCAGCCCCCGGCGGGGGUUGAGGGGGCGGAGCCCCCCAUGGGGGCGUGGGGGCGAAGCCCCCCCCAUCAUAUAACUAAACUUCAAUGUGAAAAUAAAAUAAAAUAUAAAAGAAAUUGAAAUAUACAAAUGAAUAAUCAAAAUAUGAACAAAAUAUACACACGCAGAAGGCUGACCACAAUUUCAUAAUGAAAUAUAAAAAUAGAGAAUAAUGGCAAUUGGAGCUAGAAAGAGAAGUGUUGUGGAACCUACAAAAAAAGGAUUUCUUUUAUAUAAACUCUUGUGCUGCGACUUAUCAUCGUCGACUGUAUCGACAUAUAAUUUUAUAUAAAUGAACGGGGUGAUUAAUUGGAUCAAAGAAAAU